rnacentral:snRNA from 1 species
AAGCGUUACAGCUCUUUUACAACGUGUCUAGCAGUUUUUCCAGUCCUCCCCGGAAGACCCCU